rnacentral:lncRNA from 1 species
UAGAAAUGCUAAAAGCUUCACGCAUUGUUUAAGUACUGGAACUGAGGACAUCAGCUCGCUGAGGACAGGAGCCAGUGGUGAGACAGAGCCUGGAAGAAAAAGACGGGCCUGGAAGGCAAAGCGUGGUCCUUGCCCACGGUGGAACCCUGCCAAGUGGACUAGGAAGAGAUGGGGGCUGAGCUGCCUUCUGGGGAAGGUAAGGUGACCGCAGCUCAGAGAGGCUGAGUAGCUUCCCCAGGAUCACACAGCUGGGGAGUGAAGGAGCCCACACUCGCCACCCCAAACUGCCUCUCUACAUGCACAAGCCUUCUCUGAGGAUCCUGAAGGAAACUGAAUUUACUCACCAGCAUUGGAACAUUCCAUCUGCUGAGUCACACUCACUUCUCUUAUCAUCAUUAACCCUGCGUAGGGGCUCCUGGCGCCAGAAGGAGCAACCCAAAGCUCUUCGUCUUGGGGGCUGGGGAGGAAGAUGGUGCACCCUGGACAACCCUCAGAGGAGGAGAAAAUCACCGGCUCCCAAUUUGGGCAGCGAAUCAGAAGCAGCAUGGAUUCACUGCCUUUUGAAAUAGUGAAACUACCGUCAUUGGAGAAAGGCGAACUGUGGUUAGGCGACCUGGGAUUCCUCCGCUGGGAGAGAGGUUGAACUAGGUGAACUUGAAGGUUUCAUGCAAGGAAAGAGAAGUUAGCUGAUAUUUAUGUAGACCAGCUUCUAGAUUGACACUAAGUACAAAGCUAAUGUGUAUUUACUAUGGCUUUAAUCUAUACUGAUUAAGAAUGUCUCAUUUAUUCACCUGCACCUCAUGUUUUACUUGGCAUGUAUCUUUAUUAUAGUUAAUAUAAAUAUCACAUUAGCUGCUUACAGAACAUAUAGAAUUUGCUGUCCUGAGUUUAUUUACAAGUUAGUACCUCAUUUAUGAGACUUUUUACCCCUUGAGAACAUCCGCCUUCUUCUUGAAAACUGUGACUGGUUCAUUAUAAACAUAUAUUCGUAUAAUGGAGUUAAUGGGGUUAUCAUCUGUUUAUCUCUUUUAAUUAGGCCCUGAUUUGCCCAAACAAUUUCAGUUACUUUCUUGAUUACAGUUGGAGGAGCAUGUGGUUUGGUGUGGGCUUGGUAAAGAGCUGCUGUCUGCUUCUCUAAAUCCACGUAUAGUAUCAUAUGUUCAGGCUGAGUUAAUAUUUGAUAUGUGAGUUGUUCCCUUAUCUUGUUAGAUACUCUUGAUAAAAGAAUUCCCACUCAUGAAUUUUCAUGGAUAUACCUCUGGAAAGGAAUUGAGAAAAAUAAAUGUUGUGCUAUUUGGAAAGGUUGGGAGACACGUUGCAAUCGAG